rnacentral:rRNA from 1 species
CUACGAAGGUCCCAAGCGUUAUUCGGAAUCACUGGGCGUAAAGAGUACGUAGGCGGUUUGGUAAGUCAGGUGUGAAAUCCCGGAGCUCAACUCCGGAACUGCAUCCGAUACUGCCAGACUUGAGUAAUGGAGAGGCAGGUGGAAUCCUCGGUGUAGCAGUGAAAUGCGUGGAUAUCGAGAGGAAGACCAAUGGCGAAGGCAGCCUGCUGGACAUUUACUGACGCUGAGGUACGAAGGCUAGGGGAGCGAAAGGGAUUAGAAACCCCGGUAGUCC